CAGAGAAUAGUUUAUAAAAAUAUUAAUUUUGGAGAUUAAUGAUAAGAGUUAUCUUUUCUCUGA
rnacentral:tRNA from 1 species